UUAAAAAGUUUACUUCCGGUAUUGUUUGAUAGUUUACUUGCCACUGAUUCCAAAAAUAUAUGGUUCUAUAUACUUUUACAUUGAUUUAGUACAAAAAAUAGCUACUUCCGGUUUACAAAAUGUCACUUCCGGUUGUCUUUUUUAAGGUCACAUUGCUUACAACCUAAUGCAAAAAGUCCCAUGGCUUUAUCAUGUGUACAUAUGAGGUAAAAGCAAAGGUCAAAAUCUAGAACGUUAAAUUAAGCAUAUGACCUUGAGCUCAAUUUCAAGGUCAUAAACCAAGGACCUCAAAUCAAAAGACUCUAGUCCUCUACUUUAUAUUGUUAAUGAGUUAU
rnacentral:lncRNA from 1 species